UACGAGGGGGGCAAGCGUUGUUCGGAUUUACUGGGCGUAAAGGGCGCGUAGGCGGUCGUGACAAGUCACUUGUGAAAUCUCCGGGCUUAACUCGGAACGGUCAAGUGAUACUGUCGGACUAGAGUACAGAAGGGGCAACUGGAAUUCUCGGUGUAGCGGUGAAAUGCGUAGAUAUCGAGAGGAACACCUGCGGCGAAGGCGGGUUGCUGGGCUGAUACUGACGCUGAUGCGCGAAAGCCAGGGGAGCGAACGGG
rnacentral:rRNA from 1 species